GAAUAUUGGACAAUGGGCGAAAGCCUGAUCCAGCCAUGCCGCGUGUGUGAAGAAGGUCUUCGGAUUGUAAAGCACUUUAAGUUGGGAGGAAGGGUAUUCACUUAAUACGUGAGUAUUUUGACGUUACCGACAGAAUAAGCACCGGCUAACUCUGUGCCAGCAGCCGCGGUAAUACAGAGGGUGCAAGCGUUAAUCGGAAUUACUGGGCGUAAAGCGCGCGUAGGUGGUUGGUUAAGUUGAAUGUGAAAGCCCCGGGCUCAACCUGGGAACUGCAUCCAAAACUGGCCAGCUAGAGUAUGGUAGAGGGUGGUGGAAUUUCCUGUGUAGCGGUGAAAUGCGUAGAUAUAGGAAGGAACACCAGUGGCGAAGGCGACCACCUGGACUGAUACUGACACUGAGGUGCGAAAGCGUGGGGAGCAAACAGG
rnacentral:rRNA from 1 species